GAAGAUGGGGUCAUUCCAGUGUACUGAUUACCACUAGUUCAGGACCACACUUACUAGUGGUGGGUGGAUCACCUGCCCAUGAUGUAUGGUUACUGGACAUUAACAAAAGAAAAUGGAAAGAACUGAUUAAUCUACCAGACAAUGUCACUAACAGAUAUGAUCAUUCUCUCUCAGUGUGGAGUGUGACCCCAACUACUAACUGGAUAAUUGAGUUUGGAGGAGAUAGAGGCGAUUUUAAAGAAAUAAGUGAUACAGCAGUUAUUGAACUCAGAUAUACUAGUAAUAAUGAUUGGUCUACUAGUGUAAUACCUCUGGACCAGUAUCAAGAUCAACUAAGAAUAAGGAUACUGAGUGAUUGGGAGAAUUUAGCAACAGAUAAACAGCUUCAAAUAUUUCAAGAUCGUCUGCAAUUACAAAAA
rnacentral:lncRNA from 1 species